rnacentral:lncRNA from 8 species
CUGAAUGAAUUAAAUCCCUGCAUGAAUCUCUGAACAUUCCUUGAAGCAUUCAGCAUGUAUCGCUGUUUUCUCCAGGUGUCUGUCCUAUACCUGUUCUUCGAUACAGAGGGGGGCGUCUUGUUUGCAGUCAGAAUACCAGCAGCAUCUGAUGGCAGAGUACGUGAGCAGCAUGAUGCAGUUGACCCUUGGCCCGAACCUCAAUGGUAGAGUAAUUACCUUUAGUAGACAUUUCUGUAGCUUAUAGCCCUCAAGGUCUGCUUGUCCUCUUUUCUCUCCUUUCUUCGCUUCAAAACAUAAAAUAUUCUAAACUCAGCAAAAACAGAAAUGUCCCUUUUUCAGGGCCCUGUCUUUCAAAGAUAAUUCGUAAAAAUCAAAAUAACUUCACAGAUCUUCAUUGUAAAGGGUUUAAAACCAUUUCCCCAUGCUUGUUCAACGAACCAUAAACAAUUAAUGAACAUGCACCUGUGGAACAGUCGUUAAGAUACUAACAGCUUACAGACGGUAGGCAAUUAAGGACACAGUUAUGAAAACGUAGGACACUAAACAGGCCUUUCUGCUGACUGAAAAACACCGAAAGAAAGAUGCCCAGUGUCCCUGCUCAUCUGUAUGAAUGUGCCUUAGGCAUGCUGCAAGGAGGCAUGAGGACUGCAGAUGUGGCCAGGGAAAUAUUGCAAUGUCCGUACUUUGAGACGCCUAAGACAGCGCUACAGGGAGACAUGACGGACAGCUGAUCGUCCUCGCAAUGGCAAACCAUGUGUAACAACAUCUGCACAGGAUCGGUACAUCCGAACAUCACACCUGCGGGACAGGUACAGGAUAGCAACAACAACUGCCCGAGUUACACCAGGAACGCACAAUCCCUCCAUCAGUGCUCAGACUGUCCGCAAAAGGCUGAGAGAG